UACAGGGGGUGCAAACGUUGCUCGGAAUCAUUGGGCGUAAAGCGCACGUAGGCGGUCUGUUAUGUCGGAUGUGAAAGCCCUUGGCUCAACAGAGGAAGUGCAUCCGAAACUGGCAGGCUAGAGUACUAAAGAGGAUCGCGGAAUUCCCGGUGUAGAGGUGAAAUUCGUAGAUAUCGGGAGGAACACCGGUGGCGAAGGCGGCGAUCUGGGUAGAUACUGACGCUGAGGUGCGAAAGCGUGGGGAGCAAACAGG
rnacentral:rRNA from 1 species